rnacentral:rRNA from 1 species
GGACCUGACUGCUAUCGGAUUGAUACUAAGCCAUGCGAGUCUUUGUAGUAAUACAAGGCAGACGGCUCAGUAACGCGUAGUCAACCUACCCUAUGGACGGGAAUAACCUCGGGAAACUGAGUAUAAUGCCCGAUAGAACAUUAUACCUGGAAUGGUUUAUGUUCCAAAUGAUUUAUCGCCGUAGGAUGGGACUGCGGCCUAUCAGUUUGUUGGUGAGGUAAUGGCCCACCAAGACUAUUACAGGUACGGGCUCUGAGAGGAGUGGCCCGGAGAUGGGUACUGAGACACGGACCCAGGCCCUAUGGGGCGCAGCAGGCGAGAAAACUUUGCAAUGUGCGAAAGCACGACAAGGUUAAUCCGAGUGGUUUCUGCUAAAGGAACCUUUUGUCAGUCCUAGAAACACUGAUGAAUAAGGGGUGGGCAAGUUCUGGUGU